rnacentral:lncRNA from 1 species
AAUAAUGCCAUUUCUUAAAAGUGAAAGGUGAAGAACUAACCGAGGUCGUACCUGAAUCAAAUUAAUAUGCAAUUAAAGUGCAAUAUAAACUAGGAAGUGACUUAGGUCGUUAAGGAUCAAACUUUGGUUCAGGCAAUAGGCCGAACACGUGGUGGAGAGUGAUUUUGUGGACAAUUUUGUGAACUAAAAUGAACCAAAUUAAACACGAAUAUAAACACAAAUUUAAAACGGUUAAUCAAUGGCUCAAUUACAUUGUUCCAAUCAUAGAUUAACAACAAUUACCCCCUCCUCUAACCCCUAAUCUAACACAAGUUAACCAACUAAGCGAAGACUAACCAUGUUUUAAUAAAAGAGAAUUAUGCAAGCGCAAUGCUAACAUUCAAUCAAUUCUGCACCACACAUUUCAUUAACUAAGCCUAUUAAACACCAAUUAGGCAACUAAAUGUAUACCCAAUUGCAAGUCCAGAAACAAAUUAAUGUCAACCAAGUUAGAACUACAAAAUCACAAUUACGGUUCAGAAAUCUCAUAAAAAUGAUGCAAUGUUUCUAAUGACCAACCAAAAGUACUUAAGCUACCAUAAAAACACAAUUGAAACAAUAAAGUGAAAACGAAAAUAUCAUUACAAAGGUAAUACGAAAU